rnacentral:misc_RNA from 1 species
UUGGGGAGGGGCGAGGCCGAGGAUGGCCGGGGCGGCCGCGAAGGAUCUAGCUGCCGUCGUGACCUGCCUCCCCUCCACUCGCUGGUUGUCGUCGACUGGCUGGUCGUGCCUGGCGUGGAGGUCGACGACACGCAUGACGUGCUCGGCGGCGGCGCUGCCCUGGCAGGGGUGGGGUCUGAAGGUAGGAGGUGCCCGCACAUAAGGAGGGGUGCUGCCUUGGCGGGUCUCCCACCCAGACGUCGAGAUUUGCAGAGAUUUACGGAGGUGGUUGAGGCCCGGAUAGAUGGGUGCAGGGGAGAGGCUAUCGCAGGCGGUGACUGCCCCCGCCUAAACUUCCCGCCGCGACCCCCGCCAACCGCCUGCCGCGACCCGUACGCCGCGACCCUCGCCCGCCGCCAACCGCCCGCUAGCUCGGGGCUGGAGGUUGCGGCCCAGGGAGCUGCCCUCCCCACCGGACGUGCCGCCCCGUGGCCCAACGUGCGUCGCCGGGCGCGGGAGAACGCCAGUGCCGCCCUGCUCAACCUCGUCGGCGCUCAGGUCUUCUUCCUCCCAGACGACUGUGUCUCCUUUCGUCAACCGUCAGUGCCUCUGCAGCCGCGGGCGCGGCCCCCUAGCUCGCCCCCACGCCGACGCGGGCGCAACCUCUAG